AAGUAACGGAAUUGACUGAUAAAGAUUAAUAGGAAAGCUUUAUUAAAUAUAAUUAUUACAAAGAAAAAUUAAAAAAAAAUUAAUUUUUUUUGUUAGUCACUGUUAGUAUCGGCUCCACGUCGCUAAUCGCCUUGGCAAAAAGCAAAUCGCUAAUCAUGGGUUGAAGGAAGGCGGUCUAGGGGUUGAAUUGCCUUCAAUCAAAGAGGAGGGAUUUCAG
rnacentral:misc_RNA from 1 species